rnacentral:rRNA from 1 species
GAUGGAUUGGUGCCUUCGGGAACUGUGAGACAGGUGCUGCAUGGCUGUCGUCAGCUCGUGUUGUGAAAUGUUGGGUUAAGUCCCGCAACGAGCGCAACCCUUAUCCUUUGUUGCCAGCGGUUAGGCCGGGAACUCAAAGGAGACUGCAGUGAUAAACUGGAGGAAGUGGGAUGACGUCAAGUCAUCAUGGCCCUUACGACCAGGGCUACACACGUGCUACAAUGGCAUAUACAAAGAGAAGCGACCUCGCGAGAGCAAGCGGACCUCAUAAAGUAUGUCGUAGUCCGGAUUGGAGUCUGCAACUCGACUCCAUGAAGUCGGAAUCGCUAGUAAUCGUAGAUCAGAAUGCUACGGUGAAUACGUUCCCGGGCCUUGUACACACCGCCCGUCACACCAUGGGAGUGGGUUGCAAA